rnacentral:tRNA from 1 species
GAAGUGUAGCAAAGCUGGUCUAUGCGUCGGUCUGAAAAACCGAAGAUACAGGUUCGACUCCUGUCACUUCC